CGCCAUUUUUUUUCGAUUAUACGGUAUAUAUUUCUAGAGAUUCAAAUGUACCAGCUCUCUAAUUAAAAAUAUCUUCAAAUACCCCAACUCUUUAGUUGUUAAACAACUCAAUACCAAUAGAUUUUUUACAAUGAAUUAUCGAUUAUUCUCUUUCUAAAUAUUAUAGGCAACCCAACUUUUCCUUCUUCAAUAAUAUUUAUUAAAUAUGUUAUUAACAUAUUAUAGUUAUAAAUAAAUUAAAUGAUAACAAAAAAAUAAUAUUACUAAGGGUUUAAUAAAAUCGUUAGGAAAAAGGUAGUAUAAAUUAAAAACAAAACCGGCAACAUUGCACCAUAAUUUCUGUGUCAGAAUCGGCGACAGUUGAAAUAUUUGAAGGCCGUUCAUGUUUAUUAUGUGUUUAUUUGAUAAUUAUUACCAUAUUAAAUAUAUUUUUCAAACAAAAUAUUGUUUAUUUGGUACAGAAACAAAUUAUAAUAACUUAUAUACACUAAUAUUGAAGCCUAGGUAUGUAUUUAUUAAUAAAAUAGGUGAAUUUAGUGUUCCACCGCAGAGCCCAAAUGUUACCGACCGAAUGAAUAGAUAAUGAAAGAUUAUCUUCAUUCAUUACUUGAACUUCAAUUUUGUAUUCUUUAGUCUAAGCUUCAAGAGAGACUUCAAACUACAAAUAAAAUAUAUUUACGGUGAAACGUGGGUGAAACUGGGCGAAACCAUGGAAAACUUUUGAAGAACCGUUAAAAAUCCGUUCAAGUCGGUUAAAAUUUAAAUAUAGAAUUUAGAGAAUUUAUUUGAAGUUAGGUUCGUAUCACUUGGCUAGCUGGUGGCUAGCAAGGUUAUUAGAUUCUACAGGUUACCUCAGUCGGCAGAUUUUAGGCGAGAGGUGCGCGGAGGACGGCGGGUGUGCGUGACGUAGUUCUGAGACCCGCCGUAUCUCUUUUUAAUACCUUCCAUUUCUUUCUUUUUCGUACGGUUUAAUGGCAAUGGCCGUUGGUUUGGUAGUGGUUUUGUAUCGUUUUUGUAUUAUUUCUUUAUUUGCUAAUAUUUCUUUAAGUGUUACUGGUUAAGUUAAUUGUGGUCUGUGAACUACACAUAUUUAAGUACUUUGUGGACAAUUUAUUAUUUGCGUAGAUCUCAGGAACUGGCAAUUAAAAUGCUGUGAACUCAGUGUACAGUUACUACUUGUCAAAAUAGCCUAGAAAAGGCUAAAAAUUUGGAAAAAUUAUUAAAUUUCAUGCUUUCCCGAAGAAUACCGAAAUUACUCAAAUAUGGGUGCAGAUUCAAAGGGUGUAGAGUUGUAGAGAUGGAAAAUGGAAUGUAGAAACUUGUAGGAUUUGUUCAGAUCAUUUUACCGAUGAGAUUAUGAAAGAGAUCUUCAAGUAAGAGGAAUUAUUAGGACUUGGAAACUAAGAAAAACAUUAAAAGCAAUUGUUAUAUAGGUAUGAGUAGAAUCUUAUGUAAAAG